GAUGAACGCUGGCUACAGGCUUAACACAUGCAAGUCGAGGGGAAACGCCGGGGAAGCUUGCUUCCCCGGGCGUCGACCGGCGCACGGGUGAGUAACGCGUAUCCAACCUGCCUCUGACUGAGGGAUAACCCGUCGAAAGUCGGCCUAAUACCUCAUGGCAUCGUCUGCGGGCAUCCAACGACGAUUAAAGAUUUCAUCGGUCAGGGAUGGGGAUGCGUCUGAUUAGCUUGUUGGCGGGGUAACGGCCCACCAAGGCUACGAUCAGUAGGGGUUCUGAGAGGAAGGUCCCCCACAGGGGAACUGAGACACGGUCCAAACUCCUACGGGAGGCAGCAGUGAGGAAGAGUGGGCAAGGGGCGGGAGCCUGAACCAGCCAAGUAGCGUGCAGGAUGACGGCCCUAUGGGUUGUAAACUGCUUUUAGGCGGGGAUAAAGUGAGGGACGUGUCCUUCAUUGCAGGUACCGCAUGAAUAAGGACCGGCUAAUUCCGUG
rnacentral:rRNA from 1 species